rnacentral:lncRNA from 1 species
UCACCGCCCCGCCAUGACCAAAUAAAGUUGUUUGGCAUUUUACGGCCAUAAAACUGGAAAUCCGCGCGAGUCCCAAAUUUUUGUGUGGUAUAUCCCGCGCCUUCCGCCGUGGGCCCGGGACCCCGGAUCUGGAUUGCCUAAAAAUUUUAUGGGAUGUCAAAUACGGCCUAAGGAACCAUAUUCACCGCCCCUCCAUGACCAAAUUAUAUAUUUUGGCAUUUUACGGCCAUAAAACUGGAAUUCUACACGAUUCCAAUAUUUUCGUGUUCUAUAGCCCACGCCUUCCGCCGUGGGCCUGGGACCCCGGAUCCGGAUCGCCUAAAAUUUUUUCUGGAUGUCGAAUACGGCCUAAGAAACCAUAAUCUCUGCCCAGCCAUGACCAAAUUAUAUUUUUUGGCAUUUUACAGCCAUAAAACUGGAAUUCCGUAUGAUUCCCAUAUUUUCGUGAUCUAUAGCCCACGCCUUCCUGCGUGGGCCCGGGACCCCGGAUUCAGAUCGCCUAAAUUUUUCUGGGAUGUCAAAUACGGCCUAAGAAACCAUAAUCACUGCCCCGCCAUGACCGAAUUACAUUUCUUGGCAUUUUACGGCCAUAAAACUGGAAUUCCACACGAUUCCCAUAUUUUCUUGUUCUAUAGCCCACUCCUUCCGCCGUGGGCCCGGGACCCCAUAUCCGGAUCGCCUAAAAUUUUUCCGGAAUGUUGAAUACGGCCUAAGGAACCAUAUUCACUGCCCCUCCAUGAUCUCUUUACUUUUUUGGCAUUUUACGGCCAUAAAACUGGAAAUCCGCGUGAGUCGCAAAUUUUCGUGUGCUAUAGCCCACGCCUUCCACUGUCGGCCUGAGACCCUGGACCCGUUUUACCUAAAAGUUUUUUAGGACGUCGAAUACAGCCUAAGAAAGAAUUGUCACAGCUCAGCCAUGACCAAAUUACUUUUUUGGCAUUUUUCGGCCAUAAAACUUGAAAUCCGCGCGAUUCCCAUAUUUUCGUGUGUUAUAGCCCACGUCUUCUACCGUGGGCCAGGGACUUCGAAUUCGGAUCGCCUUAAAUUUUUUCGGGAUGUCGAAUAUGGCCUAAGGAACCAUAAUCACUGCCUAGCCAUGACCAAAUUACAUUUUUUGGCAUUUUACGGCCAUAAAACUGGAAAUCCGCGC